GACAGAGGGUGCUAGCGUUGUUCGGAAUGACUGGGCGUAAAGGGUGAGUAGGUGGUCUACUAAGUAAGGUGUGAAAUCCCUGAGCUUAACUCAGGAACUGCAUUUUAUACUGGUAGACUAGAGUACGGUAGAGGAAGUGGGAAUUUCUAGUGGAGAGGUAAUAUUCAUAGAUAUUAGAAGGAACACCAAAGGCGAAGGCAAACUUCUGGGCCGAUACUGACACUGAGUCACGAAAGCGUGGGGAGCAAACAGG
rnacentral:rRNA from 1 species